rnacentral:ncRNA from 2 species
CGGAAUAGCGUGGGGAAAGGUGCCGAACGGCACAAUAGGGAAUCCGGAAAUCCGGAGCGGUCCCGCCACUGUAAUGGGGAGCCCUCACCAGCAUGCCACUGAAUACAGCUUUCGGGAAGGCGGUGAGAGGCGAUGAGCCUAAGCCAGGAUACCUGCCUUUCUCAACAAUCACCG